rnacentral:lncRNA from 1 species
CGGGGACAGGCUUGUUUCCCAGGUGAACUGACACCAGUGACUGCCUUGCAGGGUGCUGCCAGGUGACACAAGAUGAACACUGAAUCCUAGAGAAAUGGUUGGAAGAGGGACCAGAGUUCAGCCUCUCUGCCCUGGGAUGUGAAUGGACCCUUUGUAUGUACAUUUUGACAUACUGGAAAGCCUGGAAUGUCCAGAAUGCUCCAUAUCUUUGGAAGAUCCUUAUUUUGCCUGAAGAAGAAAGUCAUAUGUUUGAGAUAAUCGCAUAGAAUGAUGUGGGUGGUGGAGAUUCAAGAAAUCACACUUAAAAAAUUUCUAUAGACAUGUGCUCAGGAAAGCCAAGUGAUCUGUAUUAGCAUAAAGAGGCUCCAAGAGAGAUGUCAAUGUUUUGUUUGUUACUUUAGCAAGCUAUUAUUUUAAAAAAAGUAUGAUAUUUAUGCAUAUGAAAACAUUUUUCAGAGCUGAGGAUCUAAUAAAGAUUUAUAGCAACCAAGGGAG